AUGGUUAAGUUAGAAAGGGCGCACGGUGAAUGCCUUGGCACUAGGAGCCGAUGAAGGACGGGACUAACACCGAUAUGCUUCGGGGAGCUGUAAGUGAGCUUUGAUCCGGAGAUUUCCGAAUGGGGAAACCCACUGUUCGUAAUGGAACAGUAUCUUUAUCUGAAUACAU
rnacentral:rRNA from 1 species